ACCGCCUGGGGAGUACGGCCGCAAGGUUAUACCUCGAAGGAAUCGACGGGGGCCCGCACAAGCGGUGGAGCAUGUGGUUUAAUUCGAAGCAACGCGCAGAACACUUACCAGCCCUUGACAUGGUGGCUUAGGGUGCACGGAGACGGCAUCUGUCAGUUCGCCUGGCCCCCAUACAGGUGCUGCAUGGCUGUCGUCAGCAUCGUGUCGUGAGAUCCUGGGUUAAGUCCCGCAACGAGCGCAACCCCGUCCUUCACUUGCCAUCGGGUUGGGCCAGAGCCACUCUGGAGGAACUGCCGUGUGACAAGUCCGGAGGAAGUCGGGGAUGACGUCAAGUCCUCAUGGCCCUUAUGGGCUGGGUUACACACGUGCUUACAAUGCCGGUGACAAAGGGCAGCGACCCCGCGAGGGUGAGCGAAUCCCGGGAAGCACGUCUCAGUUCAGAUGGCACUAUGCAACUCGGGUGCAUGAAGCCGGAGUCGCUAGUAAUCGCGGAACAGCAUCCCGCGGUGAUACCUUCCCGGGC
rnacentral:rRNA from 1 species